rnacentral:piRNA from 1 species
UUUUAAACUCCGCCUACGUGUGCAUGUGUC